rnacentral:rRNA from 1 species
UUUAAGUUCAGAUGUGAAAGACCCGGGGCGUCAACCUCGGAAUAGCAUUUGUAAACUAGGCAGACUAGAGUACUGUAGAGGGGGGUAGGAAUUUCAGGUGUAGCGGUGAAAUAGCGUAGAGAUCUGAAGGAAUACCGGUGGCGAAGGCGGCCCCCUCGGACAGAUACUGACACUCAGAUGCGAAAGCGUGGGGAGCAAACAGGAUUAGAUACCCUGGUAG